rnacentral:lncRNA from 1 species
UCAAAUAUAUAUGUGAUGAGGCUAUAUGUUGACUAAAUAAUUAGUAUAAAAAAAUAUUACCUUUUUUUUUAUUUAUACUUAACUUCUAAUUAUUUUACUUAUAUUAUUUCACUCAAAUAAUUUUGAAAUUAACUAAAUCGAAUAGUAAUUCAGUAAAUAAUCUAAUUUCUUAGCUUUUAGUAAAUACAAUUAUGACAAUUGAUGACUAUUAGUUGACAGAGCUAUUAAAUUUAAUAUAAUUUUUAAUUUAAUCACGUAAAAAUUUUAUCUAAAAUAAUU